rnacentral:rRNA from 1 species
CAGCAGCCGCGGUAAUACAGAGGGUGCGAGCGUUAAUCGGAUUUACUGGGCGUAAAGCGUGCGUAGGCGGCUAAUUGAGUCGGAUGUGAAAUCCCCGAGCUUAACUUGGGAAUUGCAUUCGAUACUGGUUAGCUAGAGUGUGGGAGAGGAUGGUAGAAUUCCAGGUGUAGCGGUGAAAUGCGUAGAGAUCUGGAGGAAUACCGAUGGCGAAGGCAGCCAUCUGGCCUAACACUGACGCUGAGGUACGAAAGCAUGGGGAGCAAACAGGAUUAGAUACCCCAGUAGUCCCUGUCUCUUAUAU